GUGUGCAGGGAGAACAGGGACACUGUCGCUUCGGACGAGGUGGGGUCGCGUCUACACUUCGUCUCCUUAUUCAUUGGACUGUUUCUGGGUGAAAAUACACAGGAAGAAGGGGGCGACUGAGUUGUAGACAAUGCAACCACAGGAAUCAGUGACCUUCAAGGAUAUAGCUGUAGACUUCACCCAGGAAGAGUGGGCCCUGCUGGACACGUC